UAUUAAAUUUUUUAUUGUUUAUUAUAUAUUAAUUUUAUUUAUAAAUUUUAUUUUAUUAUUUAUAUUAAUAUUUUCUUUUUGUAUAAAGAUAAAAAGAUAAAUAUUUAUAUUAUUUUUCUCUUUAAUAAAGAUUUAAUUAAUUAAAAAUUUUAUGUUGAAUAAUUUAAUAUUUAAUUAUAUGUUAUAUGCUCAGCUUUAUAAUAUAUAGUUUAUAAUUUAUUUUUUAUAGGAUUAGCUAUAAGUUAAAAAGAAUUUAAUUUUUAAUUAUAUAUGUAUUUUUAAUAAUAAUUUUUUAUUUUUAUAAUGAAUAUAUUUUUUUUAUUAGUAUUCUAUUUUAUUUUUAGUUAUGAGAAAGUAUAAUAAUUUUUUUAUUAGUAUUAAUAAUUUAAUGUUAUAUGUUAUUAAGUAAUUUUUUUAAUAUAUUAUUUUUAAUUAGGGUUAUUAAUAAUUAUUUAUCAAAAUUUAAUUAUUUUUAUUAAAUAUCUUUUCUGCUCAAUGAUUUUUAAAUAGCUGCGGUUUUAUAACUGUUCUAAGGUAGCGAAGUAAUUUGUUUUUUAAUUGAAGACUUGUAUAAAUGGAAAUUUAUUAAUGAUUUAUAAUUUAUUUUAAUAAGAAUUUUAUUUUUAAUUGAAAAAUAUUAUUAGAUUUUAAAGACGAGAAGACCUUAAAAAUUUUAUUAAAUUAUUUUUAAUAUUUAUUAUUAUAUAGUGAUUAGUAAUUUAAUUUUAUUGGGGAAAUAAUUUAAUAAAAAAAUUUAAAUAUUUUUAUUUUUUUACUAUUUUUAAUAUAUGAUAAUUACUUUAGGGAUAACAGCGUUAUUAAUUUUAAAAGCUCUUAUAGAAAAAUUAGUUUGCGACCUCGAUGUUGGUUUUUUAUUACUUUUAAAGGUAGAAUUUUAAAUAGUUAGUCUGUUCGACUAUUAAAUUAAAACUUGAACUGAGUUCAAAUCGGCGUGAGCCAGAUUGGUUUUUAUCUUAAAAUUAUUUUUAUAUUAAUUAGUACGAAAGGA
rnacentral:rRNA from 1 species